rnacentral:ncRNA from 1 species
GGUCUUGAGCGCCAGCGCGAAGCCCCGGCUAGCUGGCCGGCAACCCUCCUGCUGCGGUGGGGUGCUCCGGGUGAUGACCGGGCUCCCGAAGGCCGGGGGCAAGCGCACCUU